rnacentral:rRNA from 1 species
UACGUAGGGUCCGAGCGUUGUCCGGAAUUACUGGGCGUAAAGAGCUCGUAGGUGGUUUGUCGCGUUGUCCGUGAAAACUCACAGCUCAACUGUGGGCGUGCGGGCGAUACGGGCAGACUGGAGUACUGCAGGGGAGACUGGAAUUCCUGGUGUAGCGGUGGAAUGCGCAGAUAUCAGGAGGAACACCGGUGGCGAAGGCGGGUCUCUGGGCAGUAACUGACGCUGAGGAGCGAAAGCAUGGGUAGCGAACAGG